CUUAUAAGCCAGAACUUAUUAGAGUGGGUGUUUCCCCAGAGACAAAGGAACUUUUUCACGCUUCAGAUCGCGGACGUUCAUUGGUUGUUCACGCGAACAGAGGCGUGAACCAGUCGAGCUAUAAGAGAUUACCCAGGAAGUUCCUCCCCCUCUUGACUCUCUUCGCCUCUUCUCUGGCGCUCUGACCUCGCUCGUCCUUCUUCGCGGCCUUGGUCCGCUCUCCUAUUGUCUGAUCUCAGCACAGCGGCUGAGAGAACAGCCUUUCUCAUGGCUCCUUCGGGAGCUUUCAUCUCCGUUGUUUUUGUUUCUUUUCCUUACUAAGUUUAUUCAUCUAUUCGCCUCUCCACACAAGGAAGACUAAUUAUGAAACAUUGCUUUGUUGGACCUUUCAUAUAUCGCGCGAUUCCGCAGCAGCCCUAGAAGACACGAGAGAACACGCCUAGCCACAAAGACCAUGCUCACGCUGCUCCAGCGCACGCCGGUAUGGUCACCGUUGCUACCAGAUCCAGUCUGAAUCCAGAUCAGAGGGUCACUGCAGUCACCCGGAUCCAGUACGUAUCCAGACAUGAUGGUGGAUCAGCACCUAGAAAGGACCUCUACAGCCCUGAAAGACAGUGGAGACCAGGACAACUAGAGCCCCAGAUACCUCUUCAAAGGGGGAGACACUUUAGACCCAAAUUGUUACAGACCUAUAUCUAUUCUACCAUGUACUGCGAAAAUAUUUGAAAGCCUAAUUAAUAAACAGAUUAUAAAAUA